GUGUCAGCAGCCGCGGUAAUACGGAGGGUGCAAGCGUUACUCGGAAUCACUGGGCGUAAAGGGUGCGUAGGCUGGCUUCUAAGUCAGAUGUGAAAUCCAAUGGCUUAACCAUUGAACUGCAUUUGAAACUGGGAGCCUAGAGUUCAGAAGGGGCAGAUGGAAUUAGUGGUGUAGGGGUAAAAUCCGUAGAUAUCACUAGGAAUAUCAAAAGCGAAGGCGAUCUGCUGGGAUGAUACUGACGCUGAGGCACGAAAGCGUGGGGAGCAAACAGGAUUAGAUACCCCUGUAGUCC
rnacentral:rRNA from 1 species